rnacentral:miRNA from 14 species
CAGGGGCACAGGUGAACUUUGAAUUUCAGGUAAACAAUCAUUUUUUAAGCAUAAGUAUAUCCUAUGCAAUAUUGGGGAUAUACUUAUGCUAAAAAAUUAUUCACUGUUUCUCUGAAAUUCGCAUUUAAUUGAGUGUCCCAUGUUUU